rnacentral:pre_miRNA from 1 species
AAUAAGAGUAAUUUUACACGGUAUAUAUUCAACAUUUAACUAUUAUUUUAUUUGAUAUUCUUUUAUGAUUACUAUUUUUAUUGUUAUUUAUGAUAAAACAGGAAUAAUAUUUUACGUGUGACUGAUUUUUUUAAUUUUUAUAAAGUUUUUAAAUAAGACAGACGGUUAAAUGUUGAAUACGGAUAGCAUGGCUGUACUUAUU